UAAAAUGCAGAGAAAUAUGACUGACAGUUUAAAAGUACUAAUUUUAAAUCUCGUUUUUAUAUUUCAGAGCCAAAACCAGUCUGGAUUGUUAUCCCCUAUGAAAGUCAUAGUACCUUUGUAAUCUUAUUUGCUCAAAUGUCCAGUGUUGUAGUGUUUGAUGGCAUACAUAUUGUAAUUGAAGGAGGGCCAAAUGUCACCAUGCCUUUACACCAUGAUAAUAAUGUAACUGUUGACAAUUUAACCCCAGGCACAGAAUAUAAUUUCUUUCCAUUAUCAAUGGGCCUGAAUUAAGUGAUAUGCCUUAUGUCCCUGCAGUAAAAACAUGUUCAGAAGGUAGUUCCAGAAACAGCAACAUUCUCUAACCUGGAUUCUGCCACAGUGUACACCUUUUCAAUUCGGACUGAAAAAGAAGGUUUUAAGGACAGAACUCCUAACAGAAAAGAAAUACAGACAGCCCUGAGUGCAGCUGAAUUUAUGAAGCACAGCAGAGAUCCAAAUGCAGUAACUGCUAGCUGGCCUUCAGCUAGACGUCUUCUGGUUGGAUACAUUAUUUCAAUAUCCAGUGAAAACUUAACGAAAGAAGAAAUUCUGCCUUCCACUAAAAGAUCCAGACCCAUCAGAUUUGUUUAUUUUGGGGCAAGAAGAAAACACAACGUAUUUGUCUUGGAAAUUACCACAAGGAGGCUUUGAAAAGUUUCAGGUAAAGAACAUUGCUGCUCUCCUAUCAUCUUGAUGUUUAUUCAGGUCUUCAUUUCACUCCUUCUUUUUGUCUUUCAUUUUACAUUAAUGAUUUCAGAAAUUAUUGUGCCACUUUGUUAAUGUAGGAUUUCUCCCCCAAGUUAUUCUUGUAUGUACUUCUUUAAAAGUACAGAGUUGUUAUCAAAAGUUUUUAAAUAUGUAUAAAACUGAUACCUGAUUUUCAACGAGUCUGGGUUUUUGGUGGACAUAAACAAGUACAUAUGUAGUACCAAGCAAGUGAAUAAAAGAGUGGUGGUACUGGAGAAUAAUGCUGCUGUGACAGCACUGGCUGGCACAAAGACUCCAGAAGUCACAGCCGAAUGAUGUGCCACAUACUCUUUUAGUCCAAUCCUAGAGAUUUAAUUGGAUGGAGACUUUCAGUCUAGAGAGCAGGAGGGUAAGAUGUAGAAGAGCCACUUUCCAACUGUGCCUGUUAUUCAUCAGGUAUAUAUAUACAUUUUCAUUGCUUUUUUUUUAAAUAAUGUAAGCUGGCAGU